rnacentral:rRNA from 1 species
UACGUAGGGUGCGAGCGUUGUCCGGAAUUACUGGGCGUAAAGAGCUCGUAGGUGGUUUGUCGCGUUGUCCGUGAAAACUCACAACUCAAUUGUGGGCGUGCGGGCGAUACGGGCAGACUGGAGUACUGCAGGGGAGACUGGAAUUCCUGGUGUAGCGGUGGAAUGCGCAGAUAUCAGGAGGAACACCGGUGGCGAAGGCGGGUCUCUGGGCAGUAACUGACACUGAGGCGCGAAAGUGUGGGGAGCGAACAGG